UACGUAGGGUGCUAGCGUUGUCCGGAUUUAUUGGGCGUAAAGGGCGCGUAGGCGGCCGAUUAAGUCGGGGGUGAAAGCCUGUGGCUCAACCACAGAAUUGCCUUCGAUACUGGUUGGCUUGAGACCGGAAGAGGACAGCGGAACUGCGAGUGUAGAGGUGAAAUUCGUAGAUAUUCGCAAGAACACCAGUGGCGAAGGCGGCUGUCUGGUCCGGUUCUGACGCUGAGGCGCGAAAGCGUGGGGAGCAAACAGG
rnacentral:rRNA from 1 species